rnacentral:rRNA from 1 species
AUUGAACGCUGGCGGCAGGCCUAACACAUCCAAGUCGAGCGGUAGAGCGAAGCUUGCUUCUCUUGAGAGCGGCGGCCGGGUGAGUAAUUCCUCGGAAUCUGCCUGGUAGUGGGGGAUACCGUUCGGAAACGGACGCUAAUACCGCAUACGUCCUACGGGCGAAACCAGGGGACCUUCGGGCCUUGCGCUAUCAGAUGAGCCUAGGUCGGAUUAGCUAGUUGGUGGGGUAAUGGCUCACCAAGGCGACGAUCCGUAACUGGUCUGAGAGGAUGACCAGUCACACUGGAACGGAGACACGGUCCAGACUCCUACGGGAGGCAGCAGUGGGGAAUAUUGGACAAUGGGCGAAAGCCUGAUCCAGCCAUGCCGCGUGUGUGAAGAAGGUCUUCGGAUUGUAAAGCACUUUAAGUUGGGAGGAAGGGUUGUAGAUUAAUACUCUGCAAUUUUGACGUUACCGACAGAAUAAGCACCGGCUAACUCGGUG